AACGAACGCUGGCGGCAGGCCUAGCACAUGCAAGUCGAGCGAAGCCUUCGGGCUUAGCGGCGGACGGGUGAGUAACGCGUGGGAACGUGCCCUUUGCUACGGAAUAGCCCCGGGAAACUGGGAGUAAUACCGUAUGUGCCCUUCGGGGGAAAGAUUUAUCGGCAAAGGAUCGGCCCGCGUUGGAUUAGGUAGUUGGUGGGGUAAUGGCCUACCAAGCCGACGAUCCAUCGCUGGUUUGAGAGGAUGAUCAGCCACACUGGGACUGAGACACGGCCCAGACUCCUACGGGAGGCAGCAGUGGGGAAUCUUAGACAAUGGGCGGAAGCCUGAUCUAGCCAUGCCGCGUGAUCGAUGAAGGCCUUAGGGUUGUAAAGAUCUUUCAGGUGGGAAGAUAAUGACUGUACCACCAGAAGAAGCCCCGGCUAACUCCGUGCCAGCAGCCGCCGCCGUAA
rnacentral:rRNA from 1 species